GAUGGCGACACGCUGGGCCCUGACUGGCGAGGGGGCGGGGCCUGAUGCGAAAGCUGCUCUGUGAUUGGCUGGAGGCGGGGCCGGGGCCGGGGGUGUCAUGGCGGCUGCCGCCUGGUCCGAGCGGGUCCGAGAGCUGCUGAAGCGGAUGAACAACUUCCAGGAGCCCGGCUCAUCCCGGGACCAGUGCCUGCCGUUCCUGGUGGCUGGGCAGCGCGUGGGCUCUGUGCCCGCCCCGGUUGCCCAGAGGCUCCAGGGCUACCCGGCCGUGUUCACCGUGUGCCCCGAGCCCGGCGGGCCCGGCCGUGUCGAGCUCUGCCCGGAGCUGGCAUCCCACGAGCAGCGCACGGCUGCCGUGGGGCAGGUGCUCACGGAGCUGCGGGACCUGGGGGCUUUCCCCUGCCUGCGCGAAUGGAGAGACGAGCACUAUGAGGUGAUGCCCCGGUUCUGCGACCCGCCUCUGUUCAGCAUGGAGCGUGCGGCCACCGCGCUGCUGGGGGUUCGCUGCUACGGCACCCACCUGAACGGCUACACCUGGCGCAGGGGCCGCCCCUGCAUGUGGCUGGGCCGCCGCGCCCUCACCAAGCCCACCUACCCCGGCCAGCUGGACAACCUGGCGGCGGGGGGCAUCGCGGUGGGGCUGGGGGUGACGGAGACGCUGGUGAAGGAGUGCCAGGAGGAGGCCUGCAUCCCCCCCGCGCUGGCAGCCCAGGCCCGGCCCGUGGGCACCAUCAGCUACACCUAUGAAGACCAUCGGGGCAUCUUCCCCGAGUGCCAGUUUGUCUUCGACCUGGAGCUGCCCGAGGAGUUCGAGCCCCACGUGGGCGAUGGGGAGAUGCAGGAGUUUUACCUGUUGGGCCUCGAUGAGGGAGCGCCAGGCACCGUUAUGUGUGGCUGUUUCCCAGCUGCUCCGCUCCAGAGGUGGCUGCUUCUCCAUGGAAGGCCAGACAGCCGCCCGCCCACAGCUGGUCUCUCUCCCGCAGGUGAAGGACGCCAUCGCGUCAGGUGACUUCAAACCCAACUGUGCGCUGGUCGCCCUGGAUUUCCUCAUCCGGCACGGCCACCUCCAGCCUGAUCAUGAGCCCCACUACGCCGAGCUGGUCGAGGGGCUGCACCGGAGCAGGUGAGACGUCGCCGCUCGUCUCCACUUCUGCUGCCCCUACCCAGCGACCCCCGCUCCUGUGAUAAGGGUGCCAGGACACAGGGCCCCACCCCUCUGCACCCCGCCCCCCGGCACCUGCCUGAAUAAAUCCUCAAACCCUCA